UCCCCCCAAAUCGCACAAGCCUGAGAAGACCAGCACUUGCCUGCGUUUGAGACGAUCACAACCAGAUGGGCACCACCACCGGAGCACUAGGCACCCCCCACUCGAGACCCCCAAAUAACCACCGUAUCUCACCAUUCGCGUCUUCAGUGUCCAAGACCCACCAUUCACCACCACCGAAAUACGCCGCACCACCGCCGGUUUCAAGGAACUCACCACCGUAUCUCAACAAUUGAUGAAUUUGUUUAGUUCAAGCUUGUUUCAAGUUACAGAACGGCAACCACGUAAAGUCAAAUUGCAGAAGAACAAAAAGAAAAAAUGUCAAGUGUUCAUUUCGGAUCAAGUUGAAACUAAAGAGCAGUUUCUGUAAUUUUGGAACAACCUCUGUUCAAUUAUAAUCUGAGCCCUUUCUACCACUUCAAGUUAUCCGACUAAGUUUGGAAAGUAUUUGACUAAGUAUCUGAUGAAGAAGCGGAUGAUGACACAGAUAUGACGUACAAUUAUUACAUUUUAUAUGUUAGGUAGUUUUAUGAUGUGUUUGUGAAUUGUGACUUAAAACGAACCCGGAUUGUGACAUUUAUGGUUAUGUUUUUUUUGAAAGGCAACCAUUUAUGCUUA